rnacentral:rRNA from 1 species
UGCAAGUCGUACGCUUCUUUUUCCACCGGAGCUUGCUCCACCGGAAAAAGAAGAGUGGCGAACGGGUGAGUAACACGUGGGUAACCUGCCCAUCAGAAGGGGAUAACACUUGGAAACAGGUGCUAAUACCGUAUAACAAUCGAAACCGCAUGGUUUUGAUUUGAAAGGCGCUUUCGGGUGUCGCUGAUGGAUGGACCCGCGGUGCAUUAGCUAGUUGGUGAGGUAACGGCUCACCAAGGCCACGAUGCAUAGCCGACCUGAGAGGGUGAUCGGCCACAUUGGGACUGAGACACGGCCCAAACUCCUACGGGAGGCAGCAGUAGGGAAUCUUCGGCAAUGGACGAAAGUCUGACCGAGCAACGCCGCGUGAGUGAAGAAGGUUUUCGGAUCGUAAAACUCUGUUGUUAGAGAAGAACAAGGAUGAGAGUAACUGUUCAUCCCUUGACGGUAUCUAACCAGAAAGCCACGGCUAACUACGUGCCAGCAGCCGCGGUAAUACGUAGGUGGCAAGCGUUGUCCGGAUUUAUUGGGCGUAAAGCGAGCGCAGGCGGUUUCUUAAGUCUGAUGUGAAAGCCCCCGGCUCAACCGGGGAGGGUCAUUGGAAACUGGGAGACUUGAGUGCAGAAGAGGAGAGUGGAAUUCCAUGUGUAGCGGUGAAAUGCGUAGAUAUAUGGAGGAACACCAGUGGCGAAGGCGGCUCUCUGGUCUGUAACUGACGCUGAGGCUCGAAAGCGUGGGG